UCGAGCGCACCUUCGGGUGAGCGGCGGACGGGUUAGUAACGCGUGGGAACAUACCCUUUGGUACGGAAUAGCCUCUGGAAACGGAGAGUAAUACCGUAUGAGCCCUUCGGGGGAAAGAUUUAUCGCCAAAGGAUUGGCCCGCGUUAGAUUAGGUAGUUGGUGGGGUAAUGGCCUACCAAGCCUACGAUCUAUAGCUGGUUUUAGAGGAUGAUCAGCAACACUGGGACUGAGACACGGCCCAGACUCCUACGGGAGGCAGCAGUGGGGAAUCUUGGACAAUGGGGGCAACCCUGAUCCAGCCAUGCCGCGUGAGUGAUGAAGGCCUUAGGGUCGUAAAGCUCUUUCGCCUGUGAAGAUAAUGACGGUAGCAGGUAAAGAAACCCCGGCUAACUCCGUGCCAGCAGCCGCGGUAAUACGGAGGGGGUUAGCGUUGUUCGGAAUUACUGGGCGUAAAGCGCACGUAGGCGGACUGGAAAGUUGGGGGUGAAAUCCCAGGGCUCAACCCUGGAACUGCCUCCAAAACUAUCAGUCUAGAGUUCGAGAGAGGUGAGUGGAAUUCCGAGUGUAGAGGUGAAAUUCGUAGAUAUUCGGAGGAACACCAGUGGCGAAGGCGGCUCACUGGCUCGAUACUGACGCUGAGGUGCGAAAGUGUGGGGAGCAAACAGGAUUAGAUACCCUGGUAGUCCACACCGUAAACGAUGAAUGCCAGUCGUCGGGUAGCAUGCUAUUCGGUGACACACCUAACGGAUUAAGCAUUCC
rnacentral:rRNA from 1 species